UCCUCCUCCUCUUCAUUUUCUUCUCAUGUCAGCGUCAAAUUGACAACUCGCUCGCUCUUUCUCUCACUCACUCACUGACUCACUCAUUUCACUCGCUCGCUCGCUGACUCGCACUGCUUACAGAGCAGAGGAACCAAGCAAUGGCGUCGCCAUUCUCUCACACACCUCCGGUUCGUUCCAUCCUCCAACCCAAGCCGAACCCUCCCCGGACCCUCCUCGCUCUCCGAGAUUCAUAUCGUGGAUGGUCGGACAGCUCCGGGUGCGGCUCGUGCAGCGCCGCCGUGGGUUCCCUGCGCGCCGCGGCGAGCUACGUGAGUAUCCGCAGUGGCGCCGCGAAACUUUGUUGCCAGAGGCGCGUGGGCGAAAGAGGAUUGUUGCAAGGGAGAGCAGGAGUUGUGAAGUGUGCUACCACUGAAGAAAUAGAAGCUGAGAAAUCUACGAUUGAAAAAGAUGUUAAACAAAGAAUGGAAAAGACUAUUGAGACACUUCGCUCAAAAUUUAAUUCCGUCAGAACAGGAAGGGCGAACCCAGCUAUGCUAGACAAAGUUGAGGUGGAGUACUAUGGGAGUCCAGUCAGCUUGAAGAGCAUUGCUCAAAUCAGUACACCUGAAGCGAGUUCUCUCUUAGUUCAGCCAUAUGAUAAAUCCAGCUUAAAGGCCAUAGAGAAAGCCAUUGUCAGCUCUGAUCUUGGUAUGACGCCGAAUAAUGAUGGAGAAGUAAUCCGCUUAUCUCUCCCACAACUCACAACUGAAAGAAGGAAGGAGUUGUCAAAAGUUGUGGCAAAGCAGGCUGAAGAAGGGAAGGUGGCAUUGAGGAAUAUAAGAAGAGAUGCGUUGAAAGCCUAUGAAAAGCUAGAGAAGUUUCACAUCGCAUCCACUUCUGACAGGAGAAAAAACUUUCAGAAGACAAUGUGAAAGAUUUGUCUAGUGAUUUGCAGAAACUGACGGAUGGCUACAUGAAGAAAAUUGACACCAUCUACAAGCAGAAAGAAAAGGAGCUGCUGACUGUUUAGGAACUGGCAUGCUGGGUAAGUUCUGUCAAGCUUCCUUCCAAGAGGGUAUAGAGGUUAGAAAUAGUGCAAUCAGGGAUUCUUGGAAUGCUGAAUACGCUUAUAUAUGCAUGCCAAUUCUUUUGGAAUUGACAAUUGAGUAUUUGGUCAAAUCUGAUAGUUUUCUUCGUCCAAGAUAAUCUUCAGCCUACAUAAGAUCUUCAACCCCACUAGCAUAACUCUUAAUAUUAACUGCCUCCAUGACAUUGUGGGAUGUAAUGAUUAGCAAGUUAUGAGAUAUGCUAGUGAGGUGAAUCUGGGUUAGGUUGACCUCUCCCAUACCCAAACCCUGUCCCAAACUCGAGUGCGGUUUUCAGCUGGAGUCCUAAAUCCAUUUCACUUAUGA